CCUACGGGUGGCAGCAGUGAGGAAUAUUGGUCAAUGGACGAGAGUCUGAACCAGCCAAGUAGCGUGAAGGAUGACGGCCCUAUGAGUUGUAAACUUCUUUUAUAUGGGAAUAAAAGGUUCCACGUGUGGGAUUUUGUAUGUACCAUAUGAAUAAGGAUCGGCUAACUCCGUGCCAGCAGCCGCGGUAAUACGGAGGAUCCGAGCGUUAUCCGGAUUUAUUGGGUUUAAAGGGAGCGUAGGUGGAUUGUUAAGUUAGUUGUGAAAGUUUGCGGCUCAACCGUAAAAGUGCAGUUGAAACUGGCAGUCUUGAGUACAGUAGAGGUAGGCGGAAUUCGUGGUGUAGCGGUGAAAUGCUUAGAUAUCACGCAGAACUCCGAUUGCGCAGGCAGUUCACUGAACUGCAACUGACACUGAGGCUCGAAAGUGUGGGUAUCAAACAGGAUUAGAUACCCCUGUAGUC
rnacentral:rRNA from 1 species